GGAGAUGGAUGGGGCCUGGUGGCCCCCACGGCCUUCAAAGCCGCUGUGAGGCGCGCAGAACGUCUCGGGUGUGUUCGAUUCGCACACAUCUCCGCCA
rnacentral:tRNA from 1 species